AUUGAACGCUGGCGGCAGGCCAAACACAUGCAAGUCGAACGAGUGGAGGACGGGUGAGAAAAGUCUGGGAAACUGCCCGAUGGCGGGGGAUAACUACUGGAAACGGUAGCUAAUACCGCAUACCAUCGGAUGUGCCCAGAUGGGAGUAGCGAGUAGGUGGGGUAACGUCUCACCUAGGCGACGAUCCCUAGCUGGUCUGAGAGGAUGACCAGCUAUAUUUGAACGGAGACCCGCCCCAGACUCCUACGGGAGGCAGUACGGGGGAAUAUUGCACUAUGGGUGCAAGCCUGAUGCUGCCAUCCCGCGUGUAUGCAGACGUCCUUCGGGUGGUAAAGUACGUUCAGCCCGGAGGCGUUACUCUCAUAAGGCGCACCGGCUAACUCCGUGCCAGCCGCCGCGGUAAUUC
rnacentral:rRNA from 1 species